rnacentral:rRNA from 1 species
AACGAACGCUGGCGGCAGGCCUAACACAUGCAAGUCGAGCGAGGACUUCGGUUCUAGCGGCGGACGGGUGAGUAACGCGUGGGAAUGUGCCUUUCUCUACGGAAUAGCCCUGGGAAACUGGGAGUAAUACCGUAUACGCCCUAUUGGGGAAAGAUUUAUCGGAGAAGGAUCAGCCCGCGUUGGAUUAGGUAGUUGGUGGGGUAAUGGCCUACCAAGCCGACGAUCCAUAGCUGGUUUGAGAGGAUGAUCAGCCACACUGGGACUGAGACACGGCCCAGACUCCUACGGGAGGCAGCAGUGGGGAAUCUUAGACAAUGGGGACAACCCUGAUCUAGCCAUGCCGCGUGAGUGAUGAAGGCCUUAGGGUUGUAAAGCUCUUUCAGCUGGGAAGAUAAUGACGGUACCAGCAGAAGAAGCCCCGGCUAACUCCGUG